rnacentral:rRNA from 1 species
UGCCUACGGGGGGCAGCAGUGAGGAAUAUUGGUCAAUGGCCGGAAGGCUGAACCAGCCAAGUCGCGUGAGGGACGACUGCCCUAUGGGUUGUAAACUUCUUUUAUAAAGGAAUAAAACGAGGCACGUGUGCCUUUUUGCAUGUACUUUAUGAAUAAGGAUCGGCUAACUCCGUGCCAGCAGCCGCGGUAAUACGGAGGAUCCGAGCGUUAUCCGGAUUUAUUGGGUUUAAAGGGAGCGUAGAUGGGUUGUUAAGUCAGUUGUGAAAGUUUGCGGCUCAACCGUAAAAUUGCAAUUGAUACUGGCA